GACGAACGCUGGCGGCGUGCUUAACACAUGCAAGUCGAACGGUAAGGCCCCAGCUUGCUGGGGUACACGAGUGGCGAACGGGUGAGUAACACGUGGGUGACCUGCCCCGCACUUCGGGAUAAGCCUGGGAAACUGGGUCUAAUACCGGAUAGGACCGCACCGUGAGGGUGUGGUGGAAAGUUGUUCGGUGUGGGAUGGGCCCGCGGCCUAUCAGCUUGUUGGUGGGGUAAUGGCCUACCAAGGCGGCGACGGGUAGCCGGCCUGAGAGGGUGGACGGCCACAUUGGGACUGAGACACGGCCCAGACUCCUACGGGAGGCAGCAGUGGGGAAUAUUGCACAAUGGGCGGAAGCCUGAUGCAGCGACGCCGCGUGGGGGAUGACGGCCUUCGGGUUGUAAACUCCUUUCACCGUCGACGAAGGUUUUCUGACGGUAGAUGGAGAAGAAGCACCGGCUAACUACGUG
rnacentral:rRNA from 1 species